AAUAACUUGGAUUUUAUAUUGCUGCUUUUGGUGUAGGAUAAAGCCCAGCCUGAAUCAACGUGUUCCAGAUCUGCAGCUGCUGGGCUGAAAAGAUGGAGACUGGAAAACAUCCCUGUCCUGGGAAUAUUGCGAGCAAAAGGAGGGGAAAAAACAAAUCCAGAAAAUCCACUUCUGCAGAGAGACUGAAUUAAUCUCGGUUUUGAGUAGAAUAAACUGUUCAGACCAAAGAGAACGGGGAGAAAGCGUGAAAUAACAUUUGAGGAUGAAAGUGGAACCAGAGUGGGGUGGAAUAAAAAAACCCAGUACAAAGCCAGGUGGCUGCUCGCUACAAACACUUUUAUUUAUUAAUAAACACAACACACUCCCGACACUUGGCUGCCUGACAGAAUCCUCAAAAGCCUUGGCGAGGGAUCAGAGCUGUGCCGGGUUCCUGUCCCUGCCCAGGAGUAGCGGUGCGAGCUGGAAAUGGAAAUGUCCCACACACGGGGAUGUGUGGAUGUGUCCCCUCAGGGUGGCGUUGGGGACACUCUGCUGCUGCUGCUGUCUGAGGUGCUGAAGCUGCACGGCCUGCCUGAGCUGGGAACCCAAACUGGUUUGAACUGGGAGCUGGAAUUCCCUGUAUACCAACCCAGGGCACAGACGUGUGAAUUUUGGGAUAACUUUGCUCCAUUGCAGCGCUGCAAGCCCAGGGGGCACUGGGAAACCUUUCAGGAUAGAAUGGAUGCCCAGGCAGGCUGCAGAGCUCCCAGGCUGGGAUUUUGGGGUGAUUUGUGCAGGUUUGCUCCCUCAGAUCUGAGCUGCUGCAGAGGAAAGGCUGUGACUCGCCGGGCCUGAGUGCUGAGCAGCCCGUGUGGAAUCUAAACAGGCAAAACCUGGCACAGUUCCCUGCAAACCGUGCUGAACUCCCCGUUUCCCUGCAGAUCAGCGGCUGGGAUUCACCAGAAGAGCAGAAACACGGGGUUAAAUCCAUAGGGAAAAAAUUGAGUUUUUCCAGUGCAGCUGGGCCAUUUCUGCUGAGCUGCCACGAGAGGGACACAGAAGGAAAGCAAAAGGAGCUGGGAAGGGAAGGAUCCAAGGAAGAGCUCGAGGUUUAAUUGGGGAUAAAUAUUCCCAGAACAAGUCAGGGGGAUGUAACUCCAUGAAGGAAAAGGAGGAGGAGAAGAUUUUGGGCAAAAUCCAGGGAUUUUGAAUGAAGACAAUUCUCAGAAAUUAAUGAACGGAGGGACCCCCGAAGCUCUGGGUGUUGGAGCUGCUUUGCCAUGGCCCUGCAAGGAGCUGUUUGUGGUGUCUGGGCAUGGUUUGGGGAAGGACAAGGAAUGUUUUCAUGUUUCCCUUGCAGGAUUCUGUGGAUUUCGGGAGGAACCCGGCCAGGGCUGCCCUCAGGCCGUGAAUGGCCCCAGUGUAGUUCUGCGAGGCCUUCCCAGAAGUGAGGAGCUCCUUGGAGAUGAGCCCAGGAACCAUCAGCCAGCCUGGGAGGAGAUCAAGGGGGCUGUGGGCUCCCGGGCUGCCCCACGGCCCCGAGGGGAACAUUCCCAGGGCAGCGUGGGCCCGACACCCUGGGACUGAGAGCACAGAGAGCACAGAGAGCACAGAGAGAACAGAGAGCACAGAGAGAACAGAGGCACCCUUGAACUCUGCCUGUGCCCCUGCCUGCUGGGAAGGCUUCCCCUCAUCCCCCAAUGUUCAGGGCUAUGACAGCUGCUCCUUUCCCUUUUCCCCUUUUUCCCCUCAUCCCCCAAUGUUCAGGGCUAUGGCAGCUGCUCCUUUCUCUUUUUCUCCUCAUCCUCCUGAUAUUCAGGGCUCUUCCAGGGCUCUUCUCACUCCUUUUCCCCUCAUCCCCCAAUGUUCAGGGCUAUGACAGCUGCUCCCUUUGCCAGGGAUGAUCCCUUUUCCCUUUUACCCCUCGUCCCCUGAUAUUCAGGGCUCUUCUUGCUCCUUUCCCCUUUUCCCCUCAUCCCCCAAUGUUCAAGGCUCCUCCAGCUGCUCCUUUUCCCUUUUUCUCCUCAUCCUCCUGAUAUUCAGGGCUCUUCCAGGGCUCUUCUUGCUCCUUUCCCUUUUCCCCUCAUCCUCCCCAUGUUCAGGGCUCUUCCAGCUGCUCCCUUUGCCAAAGAUGAUCCCUUUUCCCUUUUCCCCUUUUUCCCCUCAUCCCCCAGUGUUCAGGGCUCUUCCAGCUACUCCUUUCCCUUUUUCUCCUCAUCCUCCUGAUAUUCAGGGCUCUUCCAGCUGCUCCCUUUGCCAGGGAUGAUCCCUUUUCCCUUUUACCCCUCGUCCCCUCAUGUUCAGGGCUAUGACAGCUGCUUCUUUUCCCUUUCCCCCUCAUCCUCCUGAUAUUCAGGGCUCUUCCAGCUGCUCCCUUUGCCAGGGAUGAUCCCUUUUUCCUUUUACCCCUCGUCCCCUGAUGUUCAGGGCUCUUCCAGCUGCUCCUUUCCCUUUUACCCCUCAUCCCCCAGUGUUCAGGGCUCUUCCAGCUGCCAAGGAUGAUCCCUUUUCCCCCUCAUCCCUCUGAUGUUCAGGGCUAUGACAGCUGCUUCUUUUCCCUUUCCCCCUCAUCCUCCUGAUAUUCAGGGUUCUUCCAGCUGCUCCCUUUGCCAAAGAUGAUCCCUUUUCCCUUUUUUCCCCUUUUUCCAUGUGGGCAACAAGGCUGGUGAGGGACCCAAACCACCAUCACUGUGGGGAAACCAUCCCCACAUUGCAUUGUGCUGUGGCACAAACACAGGCACGGAAAAUGAGAUCAGAAUAUUCCUGGGAAGAGCUGUGCCUUGCUUUUCUCU